rnacentral:tRNA from 1 species
GUGGUUCAGAGGUAGAAUUCUUGCCUUCCAUGCGGGAGACCUGGGUUCAAUUCCCGGC